GUUAAAACACCGGUUCCCGUAUGAUCACCAAAGUUAAGCAUCAUCGAGCCUGGUCAAUACCGAGAUGAGUGACCUCUUAGAAAUACCAGCUGCUGUAA